rnacentral:lncRNA from 1 species
UCUCUUAUUCAAUCUUUGGAUUAUUUUCUCAUACUCUCCCUCUUAUUCAAUCUUUGGAUAAUUUUCUCAAACUCUCUCUCUUAGUCAAUCUCUAUAUCAAACUCCAUAUUCAAUAUUUUCACAUUAGCCACUUUUACUCUUAUCUUGCUUUUCCAAUAACAAACUUCUACUCUUUUAAUACUAGUCCAUACAUAAAAAACCACAACAAUUAUGGCUUCUUCUUCAAACAAUGAUAUCGACGAUUCCCUUAGUGAAAAUUUUGAUCAAUUAUGUUGGAGGUGAAAACCGCACCCUCGGUUUUCUCCGGCACAAACCGAGAUCGGCACAUUAAGCCCGAUUUACGAAAGAAUUGUACCAGAAUAAUUGGGCCGGUCGAGCUUUUGGGCCGAACUUAGCCCGAUAAGCCAAAGUCGGUCAAAACUUCUCAAAAGAAUCGAGAAGUUUCCCGAGUUCAAAUAAAAGAGGAAAGUUUCCGAGCAGAAAAAGAAAUCUCCGAGAAGAAAGAAAACUGCAGAGAGAAAAGGAAAGUCUUCUCGGUCCCAUAUCGCAGAGGAGACCCGCGAAGACCGACUUAGGAGGCAUAUAUAAAGGAAGAGGAAUGGACACCAAAAUACACAAGAGAUUCCCGAGAUACUUAGAGACUGAGAACUCAAGACAUUCAUUAGCUUCUUAGUUUCCUAAGUCUUAGUUCGUUUAUCAUUACAUAAACGAACUCAGUUGUAUUUUUGACCGAUCUAAUAAAAUCCGAGUUUCCGAUCUAAAUUAUUGUUUUGUCCCUUGUGUGAUAUUUGUAUAUCAACAAUUGGCGCCAGGUAGGG